AGAUUAAUCUGUCUGCUGCAUUGUUGGUGAUAAAAGGUCAGAUGAAGAAGGCUGCUGCUCAGCCAGGCGAUUCCUCUCCUACACAUCAGUUCAAAUCAGAAGAAGUUCAGGACUCAUGCUCAGGGUGAUGAUGAUAAGGUGCCCGAUGGAGUCCGUACGGCGACCACCGGCCCUCCGUGCUCUUGUCUUUGUGCAGCUACUGUAAGGUUUGUCACUCGUCCUGCAGCUGGAGUUGUGAACUUUGCGAUGCGACAAACAACAUGGCAGGAUGCAGAGCACUGAGGACUAUAACGAGGGAUCGGACAGAUGGACCAAGACACGAACAAUGAAGGUAAACAAUAACUCACUUGUUGGUGCUGAGAGGCUGAAAUUCAGUCUGCUGUAACAGAACAAACCCUUGUAACCUCCCUGCAGCACACAUUUCCAGUCUCUGCAGCCAUGUUCUGGUGAGACAGCAGAUAGAAACGUCACAGACUGGUGCGACCACAGAGUGACAUACAGUGAAGUCACCACAGCAGCAUUUCUAAUGCAUAUAAGGUGGCAUCAGAUUUCAAGAUUCAAGAGAUUUUUUUUAUUUGUCACAUUUAUAUAGUAACAAAAAAAAAAGCAAAUCCACAAGA